UUCUUCCAAAGCAACUCUCUUAUUGCAUAAUUCAUCCCAGCAUCUCUCAAUUAGUAACAAAAAUAGUAAAUAAAUGUAACUAUGAAAGUUAAUUUUAAAAAAAAAAAGAAUAAUGAUAUAAAGAGAGCAACUAAUGAAGCAUCAUGGGAGAGAAUAAGGCAAACCCAUUUUGUAAAGUUAAAAUUAAAUUAAUGAAAAGCUAUGCUCCACUUAGCUUAAGUUGCAUGGAGUUGAUCCUUUUUCUAUUUUU
rnacentral:lncRNA from 1 species